rnacentral:rRNA from 1 species
AGAGUUUGAUCCUGGCUCAGGAUGAACGCUAGCGGCAGGCCUAACACAUGCAAGUCGAGGGGCAGUCAACGGUGUAGCAAUACACUGGUGGCGACCGGCGCACGGGUGCGUAACGCGUAUGCAACCUACCCAUAACAGGGGGAUAACACUGAGAAAUUGGUACUAAUACCCCAUAACAUCAGGACCGGCAUCGGUUCUGGUUGAAAACUCCGGUGGUUAUGGAUGGGCAUGCGUUGUAUUAGCUGGUUGGUG